UGACUUGUAAUGAGGAAGGGAGCUGCCAGGCCCUUUGAGAAGAUCACAGCCAUCCAAAGCAGAGACACUUUAAAGCCAGGCAGAGUGGAGAUGCCACUUAGAAACUUGGGUGCUUCCUGACAAAGAAGGACACAUUACUCUUUCUGAAAAAGCUCAUCAAAUUGAACCUGCCCAUCACCUGGACCUGUCCUUCACCUGGACCUGUCCAUCACCUGGACAUGUCCAUCAUCUGGAUCUGUCCAUCACCUGAACCUGCCCAUCACCUGGACCUGUCCCUCACCUGGACCUGUCCAUCACCUGGACAUGUCCAUCAUCUGGAUCUGUCCAUCACCUGGACCUGUCCCUCACCUGGACCUGUCCAUCACCUGGACUGGGAAGCCAAGAAGUCCAGAGCAAGAACCAGCUGAUUGGCCCUGUAUCGUCUGGGUGGAUCCAAGGCAUCCCAAGGAUCCUUGUUAGGAGGACGGAGGAGAGUCAUAGUCUCAGAGAGACGGGUGAGGACUGAAGCAGAGUGUUGAAGAAAAAUGGGAGAGGUGAUGAGAAUCCCUAGCUCACACUGACAAUGUGAGGAUGUGGGCUGGGUCUGUGAACACAGCCAGAACAGGACUCCAUGUGGAAGAACACAAACAAGUGAGAUGCACUGGUUAUAUGG
rnacentral:lncRNA from 1 species